UUACAACUUAUAUGUAAAUUAUAAUUAUUUAAAAAACACAAGGUUAGCUUUCUUUAACAAUACGAAUAAUGUUGGCAAUAUUACAUCACUUUCGAUCGUCGGUGGCGGUACAACACAGGUGACCUUGAAAUCGAAUUCUUUGCAUAACCAUUUGAACAGUGUUGUGAUAUUUGUUUGUGGUCUGCACAAUUGAUAGUGGCACCGAUACAAGUAUACGAGUACAAUUUGGAUAUUUCUUUUGCCAUCACUGUCUCUUCAAACAUUACACAGUCUAAUAAAACUACCUCAAAAAAACCAAUUAAAGUUAUAACGACGGCGUGAAUGAGCAUACCAUCAAAACGCUCAUCAAAUCGAUUGGGAAAGCCGUUGGCUAUCGAAGCACAUUAAGCUCGUUGUUAACCCACUUAAAAUAUGUUAAACAUAAAGAGAUGUAUA